rnacentral:rRNA from 1 species
GACGAACGCUGGCGGCGUGCUUAACACAUGCAAGUCGAACGAUGAAGCUUCUUCGGAAGUGGAUUAGCGGCGGACGGGUGAGUAACACGUGGGUAACCUGCCUUAUAGUGGGGAAUAGCCUUUCGAAAGGAAGAUUAAUACCCCAUAAGAUUGUAGUUUCGCAUGAAACAGCAAUUAAAGGAGCAAUUCGCUAUAAGAUGGACCCGCGGCGCAUUAGCUAGUUGGUGAGGUAACGGCCCACCAAGGCGACGAUGCGUAGCCGACCUGAGAGGGGGAGCGGCCACAUUGGGACUGAGACACGGCCCAGACUCCUACGGGAGGAAGCAGUGGGGAAUAUUGCACAAUGGGGGAAACCCUGAUGCAGCAACGCCGCGUGAGUGAUGAAGGUUUUCGGAUCGUAAAGCUCUUUUAGCAGGGAAGAAGCGAGAGUGACGGUACCUGCAGAAAAAGCGCCGGCUAACUACGUGCCAGCAGCCGCCGUAACAC